UGCCAAAAAAAUUCAUGUCACCAUAGCUAGGGUUCUUGAACUUCCUAAGCUCAAUUAUCAAGAAAGAAGAAAUAGUGCAAGUGAUCGGGGAAAAGAGAAAGUUAUCGACUAAAUUACAAAAAUAGUCGUUUUGCAUCCGAGGUAAGUUAUGUGUAAAUAAUAGUAAUAUAUUUUAUAAAUUGUGAAUUUAUUUGAUAUGUGAAUCAAUAUUGAAUGUGGAAGGAUAAUUGUUCAUGAAUUAUUCAAGUGAUAAAGUGUUUAAAAUAAAGUGUUAAGUGUAAAUUCCCGGUUGAACUUAGGAAUAGAAGUGGAUACAAGUGACAUGUCACUAGAGAUCAGUGUUACAGUGUUACAGUGAGUCCCGGGUGCUGGGUGAUCUAGCAUGUGUUGCAGACACCUGACAGCUUGUGUGAGCAGGCCCGUGGACAUUUCCAGUGUUAUUGAUCAGUGGUAGCUUCGGCUACGUUUCAGUGGUAGCUUCGGCUACAUUUCAGUGGUAGCUUCGGCUACAUAUCAGUGUUGCACUUAUGUGCUAAAUCUCUACGUAUCUGUGUAUAUUCCGAGUGUUCAACGGGAUUAAUAAUGAGUUAAAGUGAAUAUGAAAUGAAGUGUGUAUUGCAGGUACAUUUGAAAAGAAUGAGCAUAGUGAUAAAGGUUAAGUGUGAAAAUGUAUAUGCAAGUGAAUUGGUAAGAUUGUGCAUGUAUAAGUGAUUGAAAUUGCUAAGAAAUGUUUUGAUUAGUUAUAUGUUAAAAGUGUUAAUUAUUAAAUGAGUAAUUAUUGUUUACAUGUAACUUACUAAGCUAUUUAUAGCUUACACCUUUCUUCUUUUCCUUUGUUAUAUAGUGAUUUGAACUUGAUCGAAGUGGGGAUCGUCGGAGCUCGUAUCACACUAUCAUAAUCAUCUCGGUAUUAUGUGCUUUUCAAAAUGUUUAAACUAUGGCAUGUAUGGAGUCUUGAUCAUUUUGAGCAUGUUCAAAUGAUAUAGCUAAUAUUAGCUAUUGAAG
rnacentral:lncRNA from 1 species